UCCUGCCUAGCUCAAUCGGAUAGAGCGUCAGACUUUUAAUUAGGGUUAUCUGGAUGUUGCAAGUUCGAAUCUUGCGGUGGGCA